rnacentral:lncRNA from 1 species
UGGAGCUGUACAUUUUAAACUAUAGCAAUGGCUGAUGUUUACGAACAUAGGUCUCAGGGUGGACAGAUCAAGAUGCAGCUUUCAAUGAUUUCUUCAGCAUCAUGCCUGCCUAGAGGACAUCAUGCUCCCCACCAUUGAUGAUAAUGGUCUAAACCUCUGAAAUUAUAUACAAUGAACGUCUUCCCAAGCACCUUCCUGACUGAUCCUCCCAUUUCUUGGGGAGCAAAUCGUCUACUGGUUGAGUUUCAUUCUUGUUCUUCUACAGUAUUAUGAACAGAGCAACAGCGAACAGCUACAAUAAAAACUUUAAAUCUUAGAAAAAGGAAGAUUGUGGAAGUCAUUAGAAGAUGUGAAGAACUUCCAUGCCCAUGGAAUAGUAGAAUUGAUGUUGUGAAAAUGACCAUCAUAUGAAAAGCAAUCUACAGAGUCAGUGCAAUCUCAGUUAAAAUCCUCACAACAUUCUUUACAGUAGUAAAUUUAAAACCCCAAAAUUCAUGUGGAACCACAAAAGACCCUGAAUAAUCAAAGCAAUUCUGAGCAAAAAGAAAAUGUUGGCUGGAUUAUCAUACCAGAUUUCAAGUUAUAUUACAGAACCAUAGAAUUUUUUUUUAAAGCAUGGUUCUGGAACAACAACAAAAAUGGACUUGUAGAUCAGUGGAACAAAACAAAAGAGCCUGUCUUAAGUGCACAUAAUUACAGCCACCUGAAAUUCAACAAAGGCAGAAAAAACAUGCACUCCAGGAAAGGCAGCAUCUCCAACAAAUCUCCAACAAAUGCUUUUGGGAAAACUGAAUGUCCACAUGUAAAAGAGUGAAAUUAGAUCAAGAUCUAUGACCCUGUACAACAAAAAGAAAGAGAGAGAAAGA